rnacentral:rRNA from 1 species
UACGGGGGGAGCAAGCGUUGUUCGGAUUUACUGGGCGUAAAGGGCGCGUAGGCGGUCGUGACAAGUCACUUGUGAAAUCUCCGGGCUUAACUCGGAACGGUCAAGUGAUACUGUCGGACUAGAGUACAGAAGGGGCAACUGGAAUUCUCGGUGUAGCGGUGAAAUGCGUAGAUAUCAGGAAGAACACCCGUGGCUAAGGCGGCUUGCUGGGCUCGGUCUGACGCUGAGGCGCGAAAGCGUGGGGAGCGAACAGG